rnacentral:rRNA from 1 species
GUCCACGCCGUAAACGAUGCACAUUAGGUAUGUGAGGUAUCGACCCCUUGCGUAUCGUAGCUAACGCGUUAAAUGUGCCGCCUGGGUAGUACGGCCGCAAGGCUAAAACUCAAAGGAAUUGACGGGGACCCGCACAAGCGGUGGAACAUGUGGUUUAAUUCGAUGACAAGCGAAGAACCUUACCGAGGCUUGACAUCCCUGGAAAGUCCAGGAAACUGGACCGUGCCGCAAGGAACCAGGUGACAGGUGUUGCACGGUUGCCGU